UGGGCUGUAGCUCAGUAGUAGAGCACUUGCCUGGCAUGUGUGAGUACUAAGUUUGAUUCUCAGCACCACAU
rnacentral:tRNA from 1 species